AUUGAACGCUGGCGGCAUGCCUUACACAUGCAAGUCGAACGGCAGCACGGGGGCAACCCUGGUGGCGAGUGGCGAACGGGUGAGUAAUGCAUCGGAACGUGCCCAGUUGUGGGGGAUAGCCCGGCGAAAGCCGGAUUAAUACCGCAUACGACCUGAGGGUGAAAGCGGGGGACCGCGAGGCCUCGCGCAAUUGGAGCGGCCGAUGUCGGAUUAGCUAGUUGGUGGGGUAAAGGCUUACCAAGGCGACGAUCCGUAGCUGGUCUGAGAGGACGACCAGCCACACUGGGACUGAGACACGGCCCAGACUCCUACGGGAGGCAGCAGUGGGGAAUUUCGGACAAUGGGCGCAAGCCUGAUCCAGCCAUGCCGCGUGCGGGAAGAAGGCCUUCGGGUUGUAAACCGCUUUUGCCAGGGAAGAAAUGCUUCGGGCUAAUAUCCUGGAGUGAUGACGGUACCUGAAGAAUAAGCACCGGCUAACUACGUGCCAGCCGCCGCCGUAACAC
rnacentral:rRNA from 1 species